rnacentral:rRNA from 1 species
UACGUAGGUGGCAAGCGUUGUCCGGAAUUAUUGGGUUUAAAGGGUGCGUAGGCGGCCUAUUAAGUCAGGGGUGAAAGACGGUAGCUUAACUAUCGCAGUGCCUUUGAUACUGAUGGGCUUGAAUGUAGUUGAGGUAGGCGGAAUGUGACAAGUAGCGGUGAAAUGCAUAGAUAUGUCACAGAACACCAAUUGCGAAGGCAGCUUACUAAAGUAUGAUUUGACGCUGAGGGCACGAAAAGCUGGGGGGAUCAAAACGGAUUAGAAAACCCCCUGGGUAAUCCC